AUGAGUUUAAUUUAUUAUCAAACUAAUCAGAGUAGGAUAAUAAGAAAUAAAACCAAACAUUACAACCACCUUCCACCUACCCCUCCCUUCUUUCUAGGCUCAACUUCCCUCCUGAAGUCUCUAGCUCCUCCUGCCCACAGGAGGAUGGGAAUGGAGGUUACAGUCAGUUCAUCACAUGUUGCUGUUCCUUCCUCCUCAGGGGUAGUACCCCUCACACUCCUCCCCUGCUCCAGCACAGGGUCCUUCCCACAGAAGACAGCUCUUCAGAAACGUCUCCAGCGUGAAGUUUUCCAUGGUCUGCAGUUCUCCAUGCAGCAAGGGUCCCCUGAGGGAUCAGAAGUCGUGCCAGGAGCCUGCUUCAGUGGUGGUUUUCAAACCCUUCUUAGGGCAUCACUGUGCUCCAGUGUGGGGUCAUCCACUGAUUGCAGGUGGAUCUCUGCUCCCCACGGACCUCCAAGGGCUGCAAGGGCACAGCUGCCUCACCAUGGGCUGCACCAUGGGCUGCAGGGGAGUCUCUGCUCUGACACCCAGAGCACCUCUUACUCUUCCUCUUCCUUCUGUGAUCUUGGUGUCUGCAGAGUUGUUUCUCUCCCAUAUCUUCAUUCCUCUGCCUGCAAUUGUGCAGGUUUUUCCUCCCUUCUUAAACUAUGUUAUCCCAGAGGUGCUGCUACUGUCACUGAUGGGCUCAGGCUUGGCCAGCAGUGGAUGUGUCUGGAAGCCAGCUGGCAUUGGUUCUGUUGGACACAGGGGAAGCUUCUGGCACCUUCUGAGAGAAGUCACCCUCAUAGCCACCCCCCCCCCCCCCCCCCCCCCCCCCCCCCCCCCCCCCCCGAUGCCCUUGCCACAGAAACACAAAGCAACUGGCCUAAAAUAUCUAACUCGGAGGAGUCAAGGGAAUUGCUGUGCACAGAUAACUUUGGGUUAGAAAUCACUGACCCCACCGUGUCCCCACUGUGUCCCCUAAUUAGACACUCUUCGCCCAGGCAACUAAAUAUGACAGGCACACGGCCAAAAUCGCUGCCAGGGCAGCAGCAAUGGCUGUUUUGCUGUGGGGUUGGGGUUGCUGGGGAGCAGGGCUGUGCCUCUGCCUGCCUGGCUGCUCCUGAAGCAGUAGAGCAAGCCAAGGCAGGGCUCAGGUUUGGGGCAUCAGGGAAAAAGUGGCUGGUGGAGUGGGGGGACAUGUAA
rnacentral:lncRNA from 1 species